ACGACUCUCGACAAAGGAUUUCUCGGCUCUCGCAUCGAUGAAGAAAGUAGCGAACUGCGAUACGUGGUAAGAAUUGCAGAAUCCCAUGAACCAUCGAGUCUUUGAACGCAAGCUGCGCCAGACGCCAAUAGGCGGAGGGCUCGUCCUCGUGGGUGUCACA
rnacentral:rRNA from 1 species